CCAGCAGCCGCGGUAAUUCCAGCUCCAAUAGCGUAUAUUAAAGUUGUUGCAGUUAAAAAGCUCGUAGUUGAAUUUCGGAUCGCCACUCCCGCCACUUCAUUGUGGCGAUGUGGAGUUCCUCCUCGCCUUUGGCGUCAUUUACUGUGAAAAAAUUAGAGUGUUCAAAGCAGGCAAUCGCUUGAAUACAUUAGCAUGGAAUAAUAAGAUAGGAUCUUCGUCUAUUUUGUUGGUUGCGGACUGAGAUAAUGAUUAAUAGGGAUAGUUGGGGGUGUCUGUAUUGUGUUGUCAGAGGUGAAAUUCUUAGAUUUACACAAGACAAACUACUGCGAAAGCAUUCACCAAGG
rnacentral:rRNA from 1 species